rnacentral:rRNA from 1 species
AGUGAACGCUGGCGGCAGGCCUAACACAUGCAAGUCGAACGGGUGGCGGACGGGUGAGUAAUGCUUGGGCAUCUCGAUUAUGGAGGGGGAUAACUACGGGAAACUGUUGCUAAUACCGCCUACCAUAGGAUGAGCUCACGUGUGAUGAGGUAGUUGGUGAGUUAAAGGCUCACCAAGCCGACGAGGUCAAGCUGGUCUGAGAGGAUGACCCGCAACACGUGUAAUGGGACGCGGCCCAGACUCCUACGUGAGGCAGCGGUGGGGAACAUUGCGGAAUGGGCACUACCAGACUCAGCCAUGCCGCGUGAAUGAAGAAGGCCUUCGGGUUGUAAAGUACUAUAGGUAGCGAGGCGUUAACUACAGAAUAAGCACCGGCUAACUCCGUGCCAGCAGCCGCGGUAAUAC